UGUCCACCUUUGUCCACAUUUGUCAUGGAAGGAAUCACACAUCAAUAUGUGGGUGGAGUCAUCUGGACCCCAAAGAGAGCGGAAGGGAAGGAACAAAAGGUGAGUAAAAAAACUUUAUUUCAUUGAAAUUUGUAAAUAUAAGCGCUAAAGACUAUGCAAGCAUUUUGUAAAUGCCAUAUCAGGUGUAACACGUCUUUUAAUAAUGUACAUAUGCCGUUGAAAUAUCAGGGUAAACGUGUGUGUCUGACAAACAGCCUCAGAGUUUUAACUUGUGCACAGAAAGUGUGUAGAAAUGCAGUUUUGUUUGCACGCAGCCCAUUUACGUUCAUCUAUCUAUUGUCUCAUUUCUGGAUAUAUAAGACGUCUUAAAUACUUCUGAAAAUACUGCUGGACUUGUUAUCCAAAAAAUUGUCAUGUCAUUUUCAUUGUCAUUUCAUUGUCAUUGUCAUAUUUAUGUAUUUAUUUAACUACGCGUGACUGUGUAAACAGUCACCAAUCUUUAUUUUGAUUUACAACAAUAUUAAGGAUGUUAAAUGUUUUUGAGCAUGUAAAGAUGCCAAGACUUAAUUUUAAGACAAAGAAGAUCCAGUUAUUUUCCUAUAUUUUUACUGUGACAUCAAAUAAAAAUCAUUUACAUUUCUUUACAUUAAUUAAUUUGUCUUUCUUCAGAAUUCUGAGUUUAAAGUCAGAAUUCUGAGAUUGAAGUCAGAAUUUUCCACGUCCUUUUUUUUUCUCGGUGGCCCAAAUCCUCUUGUGUAGAAGAUAAAAAAUCCUUGAGAGAGAAAAAGAAAUGUGGGUUGCGCUGAGCGAGCGCAGGCGAGUGCAGAGCUGUCCAUGACACGUGGUGAACAACAUGAACCAAAUAUGAAAUGUGAUCAUUUUAGUAUUAUGUAUGACUGUUUAUUUGCAUUGAAUCCUUUCUGUUAGUAGGAAAACAGAAAGUUUGAUGCAAGGGACAAAAAGAAAACACACUUUAAGCCUUAAAAUAAUUUGAAUUCAUUGUGUCGAGAAAAAAAAAAUCGAAAUCGUCAUUUUAAAACUGAAUCGAAUCAAAUCGUGGCUUGACUGAAUUGUUCCACCCUUAAUGGAUUCAGACUGGAGUUAAGAUACUGCAGCCAAGACACAACAGCCCAGGAUGAAGCAAUGUUGGAAAUAUCAUUCCCUGUCAGAGAAGGAUAGUAGAAUGGAAAGAAGACUGCAUGGAAUAAGCCUGUGACACUGCCACAAUAAAGAAGAGAACAGCAAUGACUGUGCAGGGCACAACAAAGGUAAAGACCAGAUCAGUGGCUCCAGAGACAACCAAACACUCCCCGUAACAGGAGCUGCUCCUUUUUGUGAAAAAGUGAUCUAAAUCGAAAAAACCAACAAGAUUAAAGUACUAUAAACCGAUUGAAUAUUUCUUUCUUCUGUAACCAUGGUACAAGUGGGAGGAUACGCCAUAGAAGCAUAAAUUGGUGAGGCAAAGUUGCUCCGCAGGUGCAAUUUAGUUGCAUUAAUUAGUAUUAAUGGGUUAAUUUGGGUUGGGUAGUCAGGUGUGUUAAUGCAUUAAUGUUCACAGCCAUAAUACAUAUAAAUAUAUCCACUGUAUAUAUUACACAAUCCUAUCAAAUUGUAAAUCCGAAGUUAAAAUUCUUGGCAGGUAAUUAUAAUUGCAUAAUUAUGUACUUUGAGUGUGUCUGACGCAAAAAAAUCGAGAUUUUAUAGUAAACUCUUGAAUUUGUAAAAAAAAAAAAAAAAAA